rnacentral:rRNA from 1 species
UACGAAGGGUGCAGGCGUUAAUCGGAAUUACUGGGCGUAAAGCGUGCGCAGGCGGUUUCUUAAGUCAGAUGUGAAAGCCCCGGGCUUAACCUGGGAACUGCGUUUGAAACUGAGAGACUCGAGUGUGGCAGAGGGGGGUGGAAUUCCACGUGUAGCAGUGAAAUGCGUAGAUAUGUGGAGGAACACCGAUGGCGAAGGCAGCCCCCUGGGUUAACACUGACGCUCAUGCACGAAAGCGUGGGGAGCAAACAGG